rnacentral:rRNA from 2 species
AGGUGCGAUCAUAUCAGCACUAAUGCAUCGGAUUCCAUCAAAACUCCGCAGUUAAGCUCGCUUAGGCGAGAGUAGUACUAGGAUGGGUGAUCUCCUGGGAAGUCCUCAUGUUGUACCUC